AUCAUGAGCCUGCGUGACCCCGGAGCAGCGCUGGUGUAUGCAGCUCUCUGCCAGCCUGCAUGAUGACCAGCUCAAAUAUCACAGCCAGCAGCCCGGCAGUCUCUUAACAGAAAGAUAUAAAAUUUUGCCUUUCUCCCAGAUUCAGGAGCAAAUCUGAAUCCCCACAAGCUUUAACCAGGAGAUUGGGUGUAUCUGGAAAGACACGUGAAAAACUUGAAAGAAAUCUGUAAACUCAAAGAUGUGAAUCCUCCGAGUUUAAGAAACUACAGAAGAGCUUGGCAAGAAGGAGCGUGAGCAGUCUACCUUAAUGGAUAUGAAGCAAACGGUUCUUUAUCUUCCGUGGGAUAGAGUGACAAGCGCGGUCCUAUGGGAACAUAGCCUUUAGCACCAUUACAGCUAGACUGUUUGCUUAGUCUCUUGUAGGAAGAGUUUAUGUGAUGCCUUGUAACUCAACUGUAGUGUUAUAUUGUUAUCAGCUGUAAUGUCAUUUUAUUAUGAAAGGUGAGUUAAUCAUAAUAAAGCUGAAAUUUCAUAGUUAGUACAUUCUGUGCGAAGCAAGGUCGUAGCUAUAAGUCUCAAAAACAUGUUAUUAGACAGUCUCUGUGUGUUUAGACUCCUCCUGAAGGACACAUAGGGGGAUGUCAGCCUGAGAGGAGUUAUGAGAAGAGAUGCAUUAUUGUUUUGAAAUAUGUAUCAAGUAUUCAUGCAAGUACCUUUAUCUAUAUAAUGCCCUGCUGAAUAAAGUAGAGCUAGUCUCAUUUUGCUGAACAUAA